CUCAUUGUAGUUUUGAUUUGCAUUUCUCUGAUGAUUAGUGAUGUUGAGCAUCUGUUCAUAUGUCUGUUGGCCAUUUCUAAAUUGGGUUGUUUGGGAUUUUUUGAUGUUGAUAAACAAGUCGUAAAGGAAUUGUUUUUAAAAAAAUAGGGAUUUUUAAAGAGGUGGGUCACAUGCUUCUUUUCAGUUUAAUCACUGGCAUUUUGGGUUUUUUUGUUUUGUUUGUUUCAAAACAAAACAGAGGCAAGGCCACAGUGGUAAGAAGUAUGAGCUCUGGAGCCAAUGUGUAGGUUGAAGCCUUGGUUCUGGGUCUUACUUGCUAUGUGAUCUUAGUCACAUUCCUAACGUCUCUCUCCCUCCAUGAAUGUGCCAGUUCAUGAGUUAAUGCAUUUCAACUACUUAGAUCAGUAGCUACCACAUUGGAAACAGUCCAUGGAAGUGAUAGUGUCAUCAUCAUCAUAGUCAAGAAUCCCUCCAAAGAAUAUAUGACAUUUACAUUAGUUCAGUUGGAGAAUUGUCAACCUCAUUAAAAACUAGCCUAAUACAUGAGUGGGUGGGAAGAUUACAACCGAAAUUAAUAUUUAAUAUAGCAAAAGUUGUAUUGAAAAGAAAUUGUCUUUUGGUCUUUAUUAGAGAACUGGACUUAUAACCCUUCAAACGAUGGUGUUUCAGACCAUAGUCUCUUAAGUUAUUCUUCAUGAGCAUGAUUUUUCUUUUCACUGGGUUAAAUCAGCCAGCUUGUUUUCACUGUGAAUUUGUAUUCAGACCCUUACUGGAAAUGUAUGGUGCAGAUAGUACAGCUCAAAGUACUUGCAAUUUUGUUUGGAAUGGCUUCAUGAACAAAGUUGAGUGGGGUGGGGUGAUAAAACAAAAAUAAGGAAGCCUGUAAGAAGUUUAAUAGAUUGUUAAAGUAACAAAAACUAUCUAAUUUCUUAUUUUGUUUUUCUUUCUUGUAUGUACAUAACCAUUGUUUUCUGCUACUUAAAAAAGUUUUAUCAAAAAUGAUUAUUCUUCAAUACUAUUGUUUAAUUUUCAUGGGGUUUUUACUCAGUGGCUCUUGAUUGUUUUCUCCUAACUAUAACUAGCCCAACCAUAGUUUGUGUACCUAAACAUUUUAUGAAAAUUUCAGAGUCCAAAUAUUAGCUCUUCAUUUGGAAUUUCUGCCAUUGAACGGCUGUGAAAAAUAAGUACUUUGUCACCCUUGACAGAGGUAACAAUGUCCUUUCGUGCUGUGACAGAUGGGUGUUUAUUGAUAGCAAAUUACUCUGUCCCAAGGAUUCUCUUUUAUUUCCAUUAAGAAAAUAAAUUUUUUUCCUAUUUUACUUUGUGAACAUUAACAUUAUAAUGUUGUAAUAUGAGGAGUUCAUUCAAGUAGAACAGUCAUCUCUUUUGAGUAGAGCAGUAUUUUCUGAACAGAGCAUUUUGGAAGGAGUCUUCCAAGAAAACAACUCUGCAGGUGUGCAGCAUUGCACAAGUGGUCCAAAGUAGCCCCGACUGCCAGGAACAAAUAAGUCAUGGAGCUCUCAUUUAUUGCUUAAAGAAUUUAUGUCUGAUGCGUAGGGCAAAUAAUUCUGAUCCAAUCGGUGAUAGCCAUUGUCCUGCAAAAGAAAAGAGUAAGCUUGUUCAGAUAAAACGAUAGAAUUUUUCGCUAAGAAGAUUUAGGUUUUCAAAUUAGAAUUUCGGAAAACAUAUAUCCACCACUGUGAGCUUGCUGGCUCUUAAAAAGACUGAGAAUAGUCAUACAAGGAAGGAAAAAUAUUUUUUUUCUACCCUUUUAAGUUCUCUCAGCUGGAACCUCUGUAACAAAGACAGAUUAGCCAGAGAAAUGCAUUUAAUAGAAGUUUUACAUGACACAGGAGCCUUCAGAAGGAAAUAAAGACCUGAAGAAACAGUUGCACCUGACUUUUUAUGCCAGAUUUGCUGAAGAGUGUCAAGUCGUGGGAAGAUGUGACAGGAAAAGGUGAGGUCUGUAUAGUAAAUAGGGGCAAACUUAGCAAGGCCCGAUCAUUCAGAUUCCUCUCUGUCCCUUCAUUUUCGGAGAUACUCCUUUCCUGCUGGUGUAGGGAGGCACCUCUCACAGAAGGGUUUUAUGAGCGGCUUCAGGGGAAGGUCAGAAAGUCCUUCAUGAAGGUGAGAGGAAUCACACAGACAGAUCAAAUAUAUGUUCUCGUGAUGGCUGUUGAACACUGGGUUCACCUGUUUACAGGGAAGCAACAAGUCACAAGAGUUAACAAAAGAGAAAAAGAAAAGGUCAUCUUUCAUUCCUCACAUUCCUUGAGCUUGAAAUAUUCAGUAUGCUAAGUUGCUGUAUUUUGUGAUAGUAUGCUUUAUACCUGGUCAGCAGUAAUAACUGGUGGUUUUUUUUUAUCCUGGAUGACAAGAUGAAUCAACAUUUUGAAGAUCUGCAUCACUCAAGGAACUAAUAUCCUGCUCCCCCCUCCCCCCCCCCCAAAAAAAAUGUGUAAUGUCACAAAUAUCCAUUCAAAGUACAAGAUAAAUUACUGGAUUCUAAUGAAACAAUAAAAGUUUAUUGAUAAAGUUUUAGGUUUCACAUUGCCACUGGCCUUUAAGAAACUACCUGUCAAGCUUGGACUUAGUAUUCAAGAAGAUUAUAUGAGGCUAUAUUUUCCUUAUGAAUCUCAACCAAAACAUAAACAGACUGAAUGCAGAAGCAUAUAAGAAUACAGCUGUGUCCUUUCUACUAAACCAGAGAAAGAAACUGAGGUUCAGAGAGUGUAAAUAAUUGGCUGUGGAUCACACAGCUUGGAUUUGAACCCAGGUCUGUCGUCAGAGCCCAUCUUCUUCUCAGUUCAGAGCCUUAUUCUCACUGCAUGGUUUUCAGCAGAAGGAGGGACGUGGAUGAGGGACAAAGAGGCACCAGCAUUAUGAGUCUUCAGAUGAAAAACUCAGAUGAGAAGCUGAGGAUCGGAGGAUUACAAAGACAGGAAGUUGAGGGAUCAGAUGCAAAUGCAGACACAACUGGACUCCAAGUGAAGCAUCCAUCUUAUAUAAAAACUGCUGUUUGAAAUUUUAACCCUGCAUUUUGG